GAGGGGUUGCCUCUCUUUCUUUGGUUCCUUUUUUUCCUCCCGGGUGGAAACCUAUCCGGAAGAGGAGGUGGGGGAAAGAAGUUGAAAGGCUAUUGAUUCUUACCUUAAAGAGAGAAGAGCCGUGAUUCAAAAGCACCACAUUAAGACAGACUCCCUGACUGUGAGAUCCCAGGCACUUCACCGGCUGGCCGAGUCUCUCUCCAUUCUGACCCUUUCCAGGCUGCUGGCCCCCGGGGGAGCGUGCACUAUCUGUUCCUCACGUUGGGGAAUUUCCGAUCUGAGAAGACUGCAGCUGGGCCCUUCGCACAAGACGCACAGAAGGACACCAAUGUUACAAACCGGUGAAACUGAUGCAGCUGUUUUGUUCGACUGCUUUAAAGAAAAACCCAGCUUCACAGAGCCAAGCCUAAAUGACAGAGCUUCAUUCCAGGAGAAAACAUUGGCUUCAUUGGGUGUUUCUGCAGCCAGUCCAUGGACAUGAUGGAGGGCCUGGAAGAGCAUGAGUAAAGAAUUUCCUGCUGCCAUGAUGAGGUCUUAGGAAUCCAGAAAAGAUUGAAAUGGGCUACGUCUUCAAAACAGAUACCCUGAAUUAUUAUUUAUAUUUAUACUUCCGUAACACUUAGGAGCACUGACAAGCCUCAAUCAAGGAUCAGGGUCCCAGUGUGCUCGGUGCUGUACAGACCAAUCCCAAAGAAGAAACUGCCUGCCCUAGAUUGCUCACAUGUCAGACAGGACGUGAGCCGUGGACAAAACAGACAAAUGGGGCUUUGGAAGGAUCAGGUAGCAACACAGCAAACAAAACUUAGCUCUUAGCCAGCUAGACACCUCCGGAAAGAGAUGUGGUCUAAAAGUGUAAAAUGUAUUGGGACAGCAAAAAGUGCAGCGUUUUCAAGACUGCUGAGCAUCUUCUGGUAUUGCUUAGAGUUGCA
rnacentral:lncRNA from 1 species